CCACGGGAGGCAGCAGUGAGGAAUAUUGGUCAAUGGACGAGAGUCUGAACCAGCCAAGUCGCGUGAGGGAAGACGGCCCUACGGGUUGUAAACCUCUUUUGUCGGGGAGCAAAGCGAACCACGUGUGGUUCAUUGAGAGUACCCGAAGAAAAAGCAUCGGCUAACUCCGUGCCAGCAGCCGCGGUAAUACGGAGGAUGCGAGCGUUAUCCGGAUUUAUUGGGUUUAAAGGGUGCGCAGGCGGAGGUGCAAGUCAGCGGUCAAAUUGCGGGGCUCAACCCCGUACUGCCGUUGAAACUGCAUCCCUUGAGUGCGCGAGAAGUAUGCGGAAUGCGUGGUGUAGCGGUGAAAUGCAUAGAUAUCACGCAGAACCCCGAUUGCGAAGGCAGCCUGCCAAGCCAUGACUGACGCUGAUGCACGAAAGCGUGGGGAUCAAACAGGAUUAGAUACCCGGGUAGUG
rnacentral:rRNA from 1 species